AUUGAACGCUGGCGGCAGGCUUAACACACGCAAGUCGAGCGGAGCGAGGGUGCUUGCACCUUAGCUUAGCGGCGGACGGGUGAGUAAUGCUUAGGAAUCUGCCUAUUAGUGGGGGACAACAUUCCGAAAGGAAUGCUAAUACCGCAUACGCCCUACGGGGGAAAGCAGGGGAUCUUCGGACCUUGCGCUAAUAGAUGAGCCUAAGUCGGAUUAGCUAGUUGGUGGGGUAAAGGCCUACCAAGGCGACGAUCUGUAGCGGGUCUGAGAGGAUGAUCCGCCACACUGGGACUGAGACACGGCCCAGACUCCUACGGGAGGCAGCAGUGGGGAAUAUUGGACAAUGGGCGGAAGCCUGAUCCAGCCAUGCCGCGUGUGUGAAGAAGGCCUUUUGGUUGUAAAGCACUUUAAGCGAGGAGGAGGCUCUUAAGGUUAAUACCCUUGAUGAGUGGACGUUACUCGCAGAAUAAGCACCGGCUAACUCUGUGCCAGCAGCCGCAGUAAGAC
rnacentral:rRNA from 1 species